AUGGAAGCCCCAUCUCGGGUCCUCUGCCUCCUGUUACUCUGGUUUCCAAACACCACUGGGCAAGUUCUGAUGACACAGAUUCCAGCUUUCCUGUCUUUGGCUCCUGGAGAAAAAGCCACCGUCACCUGCAAGGCCAGCAACAAUAUGGGAAACUACUUAUCCUGGUACCAGCAGAAGCCCGGGCAGGCUCCCAAGCUCCUCAUCUAUGUUGCUUCCAACAGGGCCACUGGUGUUGCAGGCCGCUUCAGUGGCAGUGGAUCUGGGACAGUCUUCACUUUUACUAUCAGCAGCCUGGAGCCUGAGGAUGCUGCAGUUUAUCACUGUUUUCAGUAUAGUAGCGGGUAG